rnacentral:rRNA from 1 species
UAGUAUAGCAUCUAUACGGUGAAACUGCGAAKGGCUCAUUAAAUCAGUUAUCGUUUAUUUGAUAGUACCUUACUACAUGGAUAACCGKGGUAAUUCUAGAGCUAAUACAUGCUAAAAACCUCGACUUCGGAAGGGGUGUAUUUAUUARAUAAAAAACCAAKGCCCUUCGGGGCUCCUUGGUGAUUCAUAAUAACUCAACGAAUCGCAKGGCCUUGCGCCGGCRAUGGUUCAUUCAAAUUUCUGCCCUAUCAACUUUCGAUGGUAGGAUAGKGGCCUACCAUGGUUUUAACGGGUAACGGGGAAUUAGGGUUCUAUUCCGGARAGGGAGCCUGARAAACGGCUACCACAUCCAAGGAAGGCAGCAGGCGCGCAAAUUACCCAAUCCCAACACGGGGAGGUAGKGACAAUAAAUACUGAUGUGGAGCUCUUUAGGGUUUCACAAUUGGAAUGAGUACAAUUUAAAUCCCUUAACGAGGAACAAUUGGAGGGCAAGUCUGGUGCCAGCAGCCGCGGUAAUUCCAGCUCCAAUAGCGUAUAUUAAAGUUGUUGCAGUUAAAAAGCUCGUAGUUGAACCUUGGGCCUGGCUGACCGGUCCGCCUCACCGCGAGCACUGGUUCGGCCGGGCCUUUCCUUCUGGGRAGCCGCAUGCCCUUCACUGGGUGUGUCGGGRAACCAGGACUUUUACUUUGAAAAAAUUAGAGUGUUCAAAGCAGGCCUAUGCUCGAAUACAUUAGCAUGGAAUAAUAGAAUAGGACGUGUGGUUCUAUUUUGUUGGUUUCUAGGACCGCCGUAUUD